rnacentral:rRNA from 1 species
UACGGGGGGGGCAAGCGUUGUUCGGAAUUACUGGGCGUAAAGCGCAUGUAGGUGGUCAUGCAGGUCGGGUGUGAAAUCCCUCGGCUCAACCGAGGACGUGCACUCGAAACCGCGUGACUUGAGUCCCGGAGAGGACGGUGGAAUUCUCGGCGUAGAGGUGAAAUUCGUAGAUAUCGGGAGGAACACCGGUGGCGAAGGCGGCCGUCUGGACGGAGACUGACACUGAGAUGCGAAAGCGUGGGGAGCAAACAGG